CCGAUGAGGUGGAAACGGACAGAGCUGGCGUAUCUGGCCUGUAUUCAGCCGCUCGUUGUUGGCCCCACCGUUGCUGCACUCCAGAUUGGGAAGGCGGCGUGGGCGCUGGCUGCGUGUGGUGCAUUUGCAGGUGGAGUGCGCCGAGGCGCUCGGCUCAGCGGCAUGAGCUCAGCUUUGAGGCCAACCGUGCAAACGGUCUGGUACCCGGGCUGGGGGAGUGUUGUUUGGGCUGGGUGUUCGCUUGUGGCUGUGGUUUCGGGCCCGGGUGGGUGCCGAGCUGGCGGUCGGUGGCGGUCGCUUGCGACACGUGCCAGCAGUCAGUUCGGUCCUGCUCGAGCUCUCAUUGUGGCCCGGCCUCGGUGUAAAAGCCGGUCAUCUGUCCGACCCGUCUUGAAACACGGACCAAGGAGUUUAGCGUGUGCGCGAGUCAUUGGGCGUUGAAAACCCAAAGGCGCAAUGAAAGUGAAGGUCUGCCUUGUGCAGCUGAUGUGUGAUCCCGGGCGCUGCGGCGCACGGGCGCAACAUAGUCCCGUCCCGACUGCAUGCAGUGGGGCGGAGACAGAGCGUACGCGCUGAG
rnacentral:rRNA from 1 species